UCACAAACAUUUAAAUAAAUACUGAUUCUCUAGCCCCAGACUUCUGAAUUUUAUUAUUUGUUUAUUUUUACAGUGCUGGGGAUUCAGCCCAGGGCCUUGCUCAGGCGAGGCAUAGACUUUACCUCUUGGCCACAUUCCCGGCCCAGACCUGAAUUUUAAUCUUGAUGGAAGUUCUCGAGUGAAUCUAAAAGCCAGCUUUGAAAGCAUGAGAGAGAAGAGUAGGAGGCCAGAGGAAAGAGAUGAGCAUAUCUGACUUGCUCCACGAGCCUCAGAGAAGCUCACGGCCCUCCCACGUGAAACGGGAAAACAAGCCUGGAAUCUACCCAAAUUCCCAUCAGUGGAUAAUGGAAUGUUAGACCGCGAAAAGAAAGGACACUGCACUAACUGCAAGCGAACGACAUGGAUGAGGCUGCGCUCUCGGCUGAAGGAAAGGGGCAAAACCGCAAUGCCCGAUUGCUCUGAGAGGAAGUUCAGAAAAGCGAGUGAAACGAUUCUCUGGUGACAGAGGUCUGGCUAGUAGCUGCCCUUGGGAAAUAGUGGCUGAGGGGGCCAUGGCAGGA